rnacentral:tRNA from 1 species
UGUCGCAUAGCUCAAUUAGCAGAGCACUUGCCUGAUAAGCGAGAGGUGGAGGUGCAAUUCCUUCUGUGGCAA